rnacentral:miRNA from 1 species
UUAGUUGAACAUCAAUUGUGG